GCAAGCCUGGGGCAAGCCACAGGAUGAAGAACAAGCCAAAGAGAGAUGGGGGGAGGGUCCUGACAAGGAAGCCUUGGUGGGUGAACUUACACCACUAGUUCUGAACCAGGGCAAGAUGUAAGAAAAUGUAUUCUUAUUAAUGAUUCAACAACACCACUCCUAAGGAUGCAGACAGCUCCCAAUCCACUUUUCUGGACCUACAACAGAAACAGGGAAGGAAUUAACCACAGUAUCCUUUCCACGAUGCUGAUGAUUUCUCACUUACUUAGAAAUAUACACCAACCCUUAUAAGAACAGAAAAUACAGCGCCAUUACAAAAUCUAUUUGACUGACAACUGCAGGAGAGAGCCCUAUGAUAUGGAACUGUAGAGUUAGAGUAGUAGGAGUUCACAUCAUGUAACGAAGAUGAAAGAAAGCGCAGGUCUGCUACUUAGCAGGGAAGGCGAGCUAAUAACAGAUGACACCAAGAAGGCUGAGAUGACACCAAGUUGGGAGAGGAUGAAAGUACUUUGAAGGACAGAAUUAGAAUUCAAAAUGACCUUGACAAGUUGGAUCAACAAGGUAGAAUUCAAUAAAGGCAAGUGCAAAGUAUUACACUCAAGAAGGAAAAAAAUUAAAGGCACAGCUACA